UUGCCAUUCCAAAUUCAUCUGGCAGUGAGUAUAAACCUAUACCUCAUGGCUCUUAGAAACUGACCAAUUGCCAUCCGACCCAGGUGUUGAAGCUAUCGAGUGAAGUAAAUAGUUGAAUACUUUUGUAAGGGUUGCAUAACAACCGCGCAUGGUACAGACCCGGGUUUGAUUCCCGGCUGGUGCAUUUUCCUUUUUUUUUCGCUGUUUCUUUUCUUUCGUUCCCACUCUUUCUCAACUCCAUAUAGUCUUGCACACUUUCUCUCUCUGUCACUCUAGUUUCGAAAUUCAGAAAGAAGAAGAAAGAACAUUAAAAAUGGAUUCAGAGGAAAAGAUCACCGAGACUUCAUCAUCUCCGACGAAACGGAUUGUAAUCCCCACACUUGUUUUAGGAGCAAUUGGGGGAGCAUUUGGAUUGGUAAGUAAACACAGAAGAGUUCUUGGUGUUGGUAGAAGUGGUGCAACAUAUGCUACUAAUGCUGCUAUUGUUACCGGAUCUUAUUGUGGAGCACGUGAAUUUGUAACGGCGGCUCGAAAUUCAGAAUCUGGUGAUCUGAUAAAUUCUGCACUUGGAGGGUUUGGUGCUGGUGCUAUUCUUGGUAGACUUCAAGGUGGUCCACUCGGUGCAAUCAAAUACUCGAUGAUGUUUGCUGUGGUAGGUACUACAGCAGAUUAUGCCAUUCCUCGAUUGAGGCAUCUCUUGGAGACAAAGAAAGAGUCUCUAUUGGGGGACAGUCAGAAUCCUGAUAAGAAUUGGUUGAAAUUGCCAGAGUGGUCGCCCAUUCAAAUACUAGAUGAGGAAGCUCUUGCUGCAAAACAGGCUCGUGAGCAACAGCUUUAUGGCCAAACUGCCCCAGUUAGUAUACAUGAGAAAGAAAAUUGACUAUUCUUAGCUUAGCAUAUACAUAGAACAAUUUUGAGCUACAUUUUGUAUAUCCAGGCUCUGGAUCCCAACCAAGAUCAUGUAAAAAACCUCGAAAUCUGUCAAAUAAAGAGAUAAAGAUCAGUGUUUCAGGGAAUCAUGUUCAAAAUGGGCAGUUGAAUCUCUACUGUAAUAAUUUGAUGUUUUUGAGUUUCGUAAUAUCAUAGUCCAAUAACAUUUUACUGAACUUCUCAAUUAAAAC